rnacentral:ncRNA from 2 species
UAAUAUUGUUAUGCUUAAGGUUCCUUUGAAUUUAAAGGAUCUAAGAGGGGAAGUCGGUGAAAAUCCGGCGCGGUCCCGCCACUGUAAACAAGGAGUUUUCUUCGCCUAGUUGUGUUAUUAGACAUGAUUAAUGGAGAGAAUGAUGAUCUGAAGCCAGGAAACCUGCCUUAAGUAGCAUCACCAA